rnacentral:rRNA from 1 species
AUUGAACGCUGGCGGAAUGCUUUACACAUGCAAGUCGAGCGGCAGCGCGGGGGCAACCCUGGCGGCGAGCGGCGAACGGGUGAGUAACAUAUCGGAACGUACCCCGUCGUGGGGGAUAACACAGCGAAAGCUGUGCUAAUACCGCAUACGACCUGAGGGUGAAAGCGGGGGAUCGCAAGACCUCGCGCGAUGGGAGCGGCCGAUAUCGGAUUAGCUUGUUGGUGAGGUAAAGGCUCACCAAGGCGACGAUCCGUAGCUGGUCUGAGAGGACGACCAGCCACACUGGAACUGAGACACGGUCCAGACUCCUACGGGAGGCAGCAGUGGGGAAUUUUGGACAAUGGGCGAAAGCCUGACGCAGCCACGCCGCGUGAGUGAUGAAGGCCUUCGGGUCGUAAAACUCUGUCGGGAGGGACGAAGGGGAAACGUCUGACGGUACCUCGCAAGAAAGCACCGGCUAACUCUGUGCCAGCAGCCGCGGU